CUAGACGCCUUCUAAUAAAAUUUUAUUUUCCUAUUAACAAAAAAGUCACAGCUACAACCAAAAUCUCUAGCAACCAAUUCUCUAAUGAAUGACCUAUCGAAUUCUAUGUAAUUUAUUUCAUAAAGUCAUAUUGGUUCUAACAUGUUCAAUCACCCUAACAAUCCAACCUGUAGUUAGGAACUAGAUAGGAGAAAAAAAAUAUUUCACAUAUAAAAUGUGCAGCACCUUUUAUCAACUAUUUCACACAUAAAAAUAUUUCAUACAUACAUACAAAAAUUACCUAAUCAAUAUAGCAAAAAAAGACUAUAAGUGUGUGAAAGCACCUUUUAUCAACUCAUUUUUUAUACAAGAGGGAAGAAAAAUGGAAGGUAACCAAAGGAGACCCACAAAAAACAAAUAAAUAAAGAAAUACAUUUAAUGGGGAACCUCAAAAAGACUUGAAAUCCUUCCAAACUUGGGUCCAAAAAAAUAUUUUCCAUGUAAAGAAAGAUAUGGAACAAAAUAAAAU
rnacentral:lncRNA from 1 species